rnacentral:rRNA from 1 species
GACGAACGCUGGCGGCGUGCUUAACACAUGCAAGUCGAACGGAAAGGCCCUGCUUUUGUGGGGUGCUCGAGUGGCGAACGGGUGAGUAACACGUGAGUAACCUGCCCUUGACUUUGGGAUAACUUCAGGAAACUGGGGCUAAUACCGGAUAGGAGCUCCUGCUGCAUGGUGGGGGUUGGAAAGUUUCGGCGGUUGGGGAUGGACUCGCGGCUUAUCAGCUUGUUGGUGGGGUAGUGGCUUACCAAGGCUUUGACGGGUAGCCGGCCUGGGAGGGUGACCGGCCACAUUGGGACUGAGAUACGGCCCAGACUCCUACGGGAGGCAGCAGUGGGGAAUAUUGCGCGAUGGGCGGAAUCCUGAUGCAGCAACGCCGCGUGCGGGAUGACGGCCUUCGGGUUGUAAACCGCUUUCGCCUGUGACGAAGCGUGAGUGACGGUAAUGGGUAAGGAAGCACCGGCUAACUACGUG